rnacentral:tRNA from 1 species
GGAGUAAUGUCUGAGUGGUCUAAAGAGUUCGAUUGCUAAUCGAAUGUACAAUUUUUGUACCGAGGGUUCGAAUCCCUCUUACUCCG